GAUGAACGCUGGCGGCGUGCCUAAUACAUGCAAGUCGAGCGAAGCGGGGACGGGUGAGUAACACGUGGAUAACCUCCUAUAAGACUGGGAAAACUUAGUGAAACCGGAGCUAAACCGGAAUCUUAUACAUGGUUCCGGGCUGUAUUAGCUAGUUGGUAAGGUAACGGCUUACCAAGGCAACGAUGCAUAGCCGACCUGAGAGGGUGAGCGGCCACACUGGAACUGAGACACGGUCCAGACUCCUACGGGAGGCAGCAGUAGGGAAUAUUCCGCAAUGGGCGAAAGCCUGACGCAGCAACGCCGCGUGAGUGAUGAAGGUCGUCGGAUCGUAAAGCUCUGUUAUUAGGGAAGCGGUACCUAAUCAGAAAGCCACGGCUAACUACGUGCCAGCAGCCGCGGUAAUAC
rnacentral:rRNA from 1 species